GGGGUCAAUGGGGUCAGUGGGGACAAUGCAAACAAUGGGGACAUUGGGGUCAAUGGGGACAAUGGGAACAUUGGGGUCAAUGGGAUCAAUGGGGACAUUGGGGUCAGUGGGGACAAUGGCAGACAAUGGGGACAUAGGGGUCAAUGGGGUCAAUGGGGAUCAUUGGGGUCAAUGGGGUCAAUGGGGACAAUGGCAGACAAUGGGGACAUUGGGGUCAAUGGGGUCAAUGGGGUCAAUGGGAUCAAUGGCAGACAGUGGGGAUAUUGGGGUCAAUGGGGUCAUUGGGGUCAAUGGGGUCAUUGGGGUCAAUGGGGACAAUGGCAGAGAAUGGGGAUAUUGGGGUCAGUGGGGACACAUUGGGGUCAAUGGGGACAAAGGCAGACAAUGGGGACAUAGGGGUCAGCAGGGACGCGUUUUGGGGGUGCCGUGCUGACGUCCCCUUGGUGGGGGGCACCCAGAGGUGGCGGCGCCGUGGACGGAGGAGACCAUCAAGCAGUGCCUGUACCUCUACCUGGCGCUGCUGCCCCACAACCACCGCCUCAUCCACGAGCUGGCGGCCGUCUACACCGAGGCCAUCGCCGACAUCAAGCGCACCGUGCUCAGGGUCAU
rnacentral:lncRNA from 1 species